rnacentral:rRNA from 1 species
CACGUAGGAGGCGAGCGUUGUCCGGAUUUACUGGGCGUAAAGGGCGUGCAGGCGGUUUGUUAAGUGCAGAGUGAAAGCUCCCGGCUCAACUGGGAGAGGUCUUUGCAUACUGGCAAACUCGAGGGAGGCAGAGGAAAGUGGAAUUCCCGGUGUAGUGGUGAUAUGCGUAGAUAUCGGGAGGAACACCUGUGGCGAAGGCGGCUUUCUGGGCCUUACCUGACGCUGAGACGCGAAAGCGUGGGGAGCGAACCGG